rnacentral:misc_RNA from 1 species
UCCGGUUUGACAACGGCAGUCUCGCUAGAGUCCCCGGCAUGACCCGCUGGCAACUAGCGACAAGGGUUUCGCUCGUUCAGGGACUUAACCCGACAUCUCACGGCACGAGCUGACGACAGCCAUGCACCACCUGUGCAGGCUCCGAAGAGCGCCCGCUUUCACGGGUUUCACCCUGCAUGUCAAGCCCAGGUAAGGUUCUUCGCGUUGCAUCGAAUUAAGCCGCAUGCUCCGCUGCUUGUGCGAGCCCCCGUCAAUUCCUUUGAGUUUUAGCCUUGCGGCCAUACUCCCCAGGCGGGACACUUAAUGGGUUAGCUGCGGCACGGGAGGAGUCGACACCUCCCACACCUAGUGUCCAUCGUUUACGGCGUGGACUAC